AUUGAACGCUGGCGGCAUGCCUUACACAUGCAAGUCGAACGGCAGCACGGGAGCAAUCCUGGUGGCGAGUGGCGAACGGGUGAGUAAUACAUCGGAACGUGCCCAUUAGUGGGGGAUAGCCCGGCGAAAGCCGGAUUAAUACCGCAUACGACCUACGGGUGAAAGCAGGGGAUCGCAAGACCUUGCGCUAUUGGAGCGGCCGAUGUCAGAUUAGCUAGUUGGGGGGUAAAGGCCUACCAAGGCGACGAUCUGUAGCUGGUCUGAGAGGACGACCAGCACACUGGGACUGAGACACGGCCCAGACUCCUACGGGAGGCAGCAGUGGGGAAUUUGGACAAUGGGCGAAAGCCUGAUCCAGCCAUGCCGCGUGCGGGAAGAAGGCC
rnacentral:rRNA from 1 species